CAGAGGCAGACUCCCAAGGACCCAUCGGCCGCGGGGUCCUCGCCCGAGGGGCUCUCUGGUCCCUGGGGAUGGGGUGUGGGUUCGGGCUGGGGAGAGGGGUCGGCCAGAUGACUGCAGGCCGGACGCAGGAUUCGGGCUCGUGUCAAACAGCUGACAGCUGUGUGGGCUUCAACGGAGGCAGAUCCAGCAGAGCCUGGACAGUCACACCCACCUUCACCAGACCGCGCUCUUCGAGGAUGUGAUGGGGCAGACAAAGCUUGUCCUGAGGCAGCGGAGAGACGUCUUUGUCAGGGACACUCAGCAAAAGAGACAUCAUGUCCCUCAUUGUUUAGGAGCCUUUCCAGGGUCAUGAGUGAAAGUUCAUACUCAACAUAUGGCACAAGACUGGAGCUGCUGGAAACCAUGAGAGUCAGGAGAUAAAUAGAUGCUGGAGGCCAGCGAGGAAAACAUGAAGGAAAAGAUGAUACCAUCAAUGACAAGUCAAUUCAGCAUCCUAAUCUCUAUCCCUGCGUGCCCAUUGAUUGUGCAAACUCUCCAUCACUGGGCUCAGUACCUAAAAGUUAAAUAUCACUCAACGUGCUGGAAAAGAGAGAUCUUGUGGUCCAAAUGCAUUCACAAAUAACUGAGAUAAGAGCUAGGAAAAGUUUUCAUCAAAUCUGCAAUCACAUAGCUGUGGCUGGAGCAGUUUCCAAUCUCUCUGUCUCCCCUUCUGAACUUAUGAGGGAACAUUUCAGGUGUGCUGGUUCACACAAGAGUGAUUCUGACAUCAUUCUGACAGGGCUGGGUACCCAACUCUGUACUUGUGAGGGUACCGACCAAACUGCAUCAGAACUAAGGAGUACAGAUGCAUGUUCAAUCUACCGUGCCGAAUUUCAGUCCCAGAGAGUGCAUCUGUUGAGAGAGCGCCGAGAGAAAGAGACGGAGCGAAACUGCAUCGCCUUGUUCAAGCCACAGUGUUCACACACAGUGCAACGGUGCGUGAAAAGCAGUCCCAAAGUGUGGUUACGCGCAGACUUUGCAAUAUUUGUGAUGUGAAACACAAAACCGCCAGGGCAACACAUCUGACCUCAAACACAGAAUAUCUCAAAGCUGAUGAGCGUACCGUGUCUGACAGGCCGCAGCAGCUGCAGCUAACGUUAGCGGGCCCGCAGCCGGCGCGGAGGAAGAUGGAUCUCCGUGGACGGCGAAACAUCAAACGAGGCAACAAUAAACUCAACUAGCUAUGGCUGGAUAAGUUGUUGUUGGAGGUGGCUGGGGAUUUUUUUCAUGGCCUUGGCUGACGUUAGCUUAGCAUUUUUACUAGCAUUAACAGCACUCAGCCACUGCCUCCAUCUGGAGGUCUGUUUGGACUUAUUGUUUACAUCUGAAAUUACACUUUUUUUUAAUUACAGAGAAAAUAGAGUACUGAAAAAGGCACCAUGCUCCUGUCGUUGUGUUAACACGUGGUCUGAAUAUGGCAGUUAUUACACAUAAGGCUACUUUCUAUAAGUGCUACAUCAUGUGGCCGGUUUUACUGCAUUUUUACAAAGAACAUAGUUUAGUACAAGAUGAACUACUACUGCAACUGGAAAAACUACUCCUAUUACUUUCAGCUACUUAUCUUACUACUAAACAGUACUUGUACUAAAAUGUAGCGCUACUACAAAGCAAUACUACUAAAGCUACAGCAGAAACUGGCAGGUAGCUGCUGGUUUCCAAUGGGCUGCUCUCCGCCUGAGAAACAACAGCAACGUGGUGACGAAGCGUUGUCUCCAGGCAGCAAAUGAGUGUUGAGAAUGUGACAAUGUGACAACAAUGAGCUUUACUGCACAGACUCAACACAGUGAGAUGAGUCAGUUACAGGCUUUAUCGCCGUAUGACUCAAAUUCUUAGUAACCAAGUGCAGUUGUGACACUUCCAUUGCGUUAGAUGGGAAAACCAAGUGCUGAUUUAGAUGUCAGUAAUUCACUUAAAGGUAUAAACAGUGGAACAAAAGCCGGAUCUGGCAGCCUUUGGCCCCGCGAAUGACUCAACGCUUUGUGCAAAAUGCGAACGCAUAAACAAGCUGCGAGGCUGCUGACCUGCCGUAAGAGUCCUAUCUGUUCCAUUUCCUCUCUCAAGUGCUCCAUCUUCCUCCUCAUGGUGAAGCUGGGGUCUGUGGAGGUGUACUCCUGACGGCUUCCUCUGGUGAAAGCUGGAAUAACAAAAGAAGUGCACUGUUCUGAGUUCCAGGUAACACGCGGUAAGAGCCAAAGAAAAUCCUAGAAGCAGAGAUUACUGUCUAUCCCGGCAGGUCAACCACCGGCCACCUGAGGUCUACAUCAGGUUAGCCUGAUGACAGAUGCGUACAUUCCACUUCUGCUUUCCAGAAAAG